rnacentral:lncRNA from 1 species
CAGAAACGCACGCGCACAAAUGCGACGGUCCCGAUGUCUUUUUGUGUGUGUAUGUGUGCUUUAUCUAUUCAGCGAUGGGCGGGAACGGCGGGCCGAGUGGCGUUGGCCUCCUCCCAGGCCUUUUGCUUGCGCGGCACCGGCACGGCGCCGCCGAGCACCAGGUCGGUACCCUUGACCGGAUGCACGUAGGCCAUCAUGAGCAUUUCGCGCUUCCAGCGGAAAUGCACGUAGCCGCCGCCACGGCGCGCCGCGCUCAGCAUGUCGGCGAGCGGGCUCGGCGCCCGACUGUGUGCGCCACGACGUCUGCGGGCCGGCGCGAUCGGCGCGCCCCCAUACGCGGGCGUACCGGCGUCGCCUUGCUCAUCGUCGCCGGUGGCAUGCGCAACGCCGCCCGUGUGGUCGCCGUCGACCACACGAUGAAACCCGGGCACGCGGCCCGUAGCACCGCGCGCCAAGUGCCGCGUCUUGCCGUGGGCCCACACGCCGCCGCGCGAGUCGACGGCAAAGGCAAAGCCGCGCCCGCACGAGCCCAGGCGCACGGCUUCGAUGGCGUCUAGCAUCUCGUGCACGAGCGGGUCCGCGGCGGCGAUGGCGGCCAUGUGUGCCUUGGACGCUGCCGCCGAGGCCGAUGGCGGCCGCGUCGAUUGAGCCGACGGCGUGUUGGACGGCGCGCGGGCGCGCGGUCGUGGAUGGGCGGGAGGCGUCACCGCUGCAGUUGUUGUCGGAUCGAUCGACGCGGGAGGCGCAGAGGCGGCGCGCUGCUGGGCGUCGCGCAUGACGCCGCUGGCGUGCCGCGACAGGGCCUUGACGUCGGUGCGCAGUCGCUGCUUUUCGCCCACCCACGCCUUGACGUAGCGCACGGCCGAUGCAAAGAGCACGAGCGAGAUCGUGACGAGCGUGAUGAUGACGACCAGGAGGAGGAACGACCAGCGCACCUCGCGCUCGGUGCACACGCACGACCCGAGGACAAAGGCCGGCGCGCGCGUGCACUUGGAGCCGCUGUCUGGUCGAUCGCCCAUCCGCCAAUCGAAAAAAAAAGAAAAGAAAAAGAGACGCGGAGGAAUGCAAAGGCAGAGGGCCAAAGAAAAAAAGAGAGGAGACAAAGACAGGCGAGGCAACGGAAAAGAGGCGGCCUGUGUCUCGGCGCUAAAAGCAGAGGCGCCUUGCAAAAGUUGCGAAAAAAAAAGAGAUGCGGCUGUUGUUGUCGCCGCAGCCCAAUGGCGCGGAUGGCAAAAGGGCAAAAAAAAAGGGAGCCGCGGGCGAGGCUCUUGUCUU